UACGUAGGGUGCGAGCGUUGUCCGGAAUUAUUGGGCGUAAAGAGCUCGUAGGCGGUUUGUCGCGUCUGCCGUGAAAGUCCGGGGCUCAACUCCGGAUCUGCGGUGGGUACGGGCAGACUAGAGUGAUGUAGGGGAGACUGGAAUUCCUGGGUGUAGCGGUGAAUGCGCAGAUAUCAGGAGGAACACCGAUGGCGAAGGCAGGUCUCUGGGCAUUAACUGACGCUGAGGAGCGAAAGCAUGGGGAGCGAACAGG
rnacentral:rRNA from 1 species